AACUAAGGUUUAUCGAACAGAUACUGUGUGUAAGGCAAUCACUGCUAGUUUUGUGGAACGUCGGCUCCCCUAGGUUUCAUGGUCAGUAAGUAUUUGAGAAAGGAUUUCAGUCUGAAUAUGCUAACUCUGGAUUUGCCUGUUUUACAGCACGAUGCUAAGGUGAAUCCUUAGCCAGAGGCUAUAUCAGAAUCAUCUGUCUGUAGAACACAACUCAUUCUGACAAACUCCUCUUAAGGCAAGAAAUCAGAAUUGGGAAAGGCCUACAGAUGAUUUCUGCCUGACCUAGAGAACCACUGUACUUGAACGACUUUCCAUGGCAGACUCAAAUUGCAUUUCUAAGUCCAUUAUGGUCAUUAUGUGAACAUAGGUAGCAGCGUGAUCCUAAUGUGUGAAAGUUGCAGAUAAAGAAAUCACUAGAACGUAGAACAGAAUUAUCAUAACUUUAUUUACCAAGUUGUUUGAGCUUUGCAACAACCUUAUGAGUGGCGAAAGCCUUUAGUGUAACUUUUUCCAAAUGGUUAAUUCUCAAAUUCAUAAGUGCAGUUAAGUGUAAGCUGAUGAAAACAUAAGUCUGCUGACUUUUCUGACCAGUGUUCUUUCUGCGGUCUGGAGUAGCAUGGGUUUCAGCCUAUGUGCCGACUUCAGUGGUUUGGACAACAGGAUUGUUUGAUAGUUGAAGACAGGGUUCUUGAAUCAAACUCUGGCUUCAAACCCGAGCUCUGAGACUUACUGAGUGGCUCUGCCAGGUUCAUUUCUCUAAGCCUUAAUUUUUUUUAUUUAUAAAAUGAGAAUGAUGGUACCUAACUCAUAGAAUAAUGUUAGAAUGAAAUACUUCUCUUAUUGUUCUGGGCUCAGUGCUUGGCGUGCAGGGAGCACGCGUGAUAGCUAAUGCCGAGUGAAGGUGCUGUGAUUGAUGAGCUAUGGCGGUUGGGGGCAUUACUGUAAAUCGGUAUUCACUCAAAUGACCUAUGACUGACUAUAUGCUGCUGAAGAUCGUUUCACUACCAGUGUGACCUUGCCUCGUCUUCGGGCUUCCAGCUGAAAUUUGGCAAGAGAGUCUUUGUCCUUACUCAGCUCUCAGGAACGUUACAGAUUCUAGUGCAAGGAUGGGUAUGUAAACACUGAGCUUGAGCAACGUUCAUAGGAAGCAGGUUAAUGGUUUGAGCCCUACUGUUUGGCUUUCUUAAGAAUUUUAACUCCUGGUGUUCAUUUUAAACCUUCCAUCACGUAAGUGACCCUGCUCACCGAUUUAAUCCUCUGUUCUUUAUCUCCAUAAUGUCGCAGUGUCUCCUCCUAAUGGAGCGAGCACACGUUAAGUUUUAGCAAAAUAAUUGGCAGCCUGGGAGAGGAGCAAAUCUGGUCUGCUGCAGGUCUGUAUGAAGGCAUGAUGGUUCAGUGAUUUGUUCAUUAUUUAUUAGUCGGCUUUAAAAAGAAGAAGAAGAAGAAGAAGAAAUUUAAAUUUGUAGUGCUGGUAACUGAUUUCACAGGGGAUUCCUGAAGCUAUGAAGUAAUUUCUGUGAAAUGAACUGCCAUGCAAAUUGGUUUAAAUAUAUCUACAGCCUUAAGAAUGAUCAGUAUGUUUGUUGAGCAGAGUUUGCUGCUCCAGUGCUCCUGAGGGCUUUUCAUUUGGUGGUUCUUCGGGCUGUGCUAUAAUUACCCUGCAAGCUAUAUUCUUAGGAUUAUUCAGGUAUAUAUCCCCUGCAUUAAACUCCUGAGGUGAAUGAAUUAGUACAGUGGUGAUAGUCUCCAGUCAGCAUUCCUUGAGUGCUCAUGGUAAUCUUGCCCUUAGAGUGAGUGUAUGGGCAGGAAAGACACCUUUUUUUCCAGUGGCUUAGCCAUAGGAGAUAAGAAUGCAGCCUGAGACACCUGUGCUUCCUCAUUUACAAAACAGUAGAUCUCUUUAUCAAUAAACCAGUUAACAAAUUCGUAGGGGAAAUUGAUAGUUUCCUUUGGGAGAAGUGGUGUUCUCAGAUACGUAAGCCUAAAAGAAAAAAAAAUAAAGAAUAGCUAGUUGUAAUGUUCAUGUGCAAUUUUGUCGUUCAAUAAAUUUUGAUAUAUUGAUUGCCUUGUGAUAGUGCAUGAGAGUCUUAGGUACACUCGGGUGUUUACAUCUUGAAAAAUUAAUAAGCAGCAGGGACAGUGGAGAAUUGAUUUUUAGGAUAAGCCGUUUGUAGCAGAUUGAUGGAAGCAAGAGCUGUUAAUGUAUGUCUUUUGAUGAGGCAAAAACUAAUGCUGUAUACUUUGAUCUGUGCUGUAUGUCUGUUGUGAGUAUUGAGUUUUGGUUAUGUGAACAAAGCCUUUUAAUGUUAUGUGGCUCCUGAUUUAUUCCACAGCCGUGGUGGUAAUGUAAAUGAAGAGUUUCUCCCUAGUUGAGUAUUUUGUACUGAGUAGAGGAAUACUUGAAAUUUUCUAGGAGGACAGAUCUUCAGUCUACUCGACACACACAGAAGGGUUACUGUGUAUGGAUAUUUAGCUUGACAGUGGUUUUUUCAAAGAUGUACCCCUUCAAUAUAUCAUUACUGUGUGUCAGAGAUCUUAAUAAAGUUGCUGAUAGGUAUAUGUUUAAAAGGCUGCCAAAAAGAAGGGAUUUAUAAGUCUCCAUUCCGCCAGAAUGCAGACAGACAGAAGAGUUGCUUUCAUAACUGACUUGUCACGUUGAGUGCAUCUGACCUGAGACUUGACUUGGCCUCCAGGAUAAUUUAAUGCGUUUAGUUUUGCUCAUGAGUUGUAAUACCACUGGUAUUCUAUGAUACAGAAAACAAGAGUCUGUCAUUUAGAAAUAAGCCCUUGGAAAUGGGAAGGUUGGGGAGUGUGGACCAAAAACACGUUCCUGUGCAAAUGAAAUCCUGCCACCGGCAGCCUGUGGAAUCUUUGGGGACCCACGAUAAGUUGCACAAUUUGGGCUGCAUAACAAUAUGAGUGUGCAGUUGACCCUCGAACAACACGGCGCUUGGGGGCGCCAACCCCUGCCCAGCCAAAAUCUGCAUAUAACUCUUUACUGCCCCACAACUUUACUAAUAGAAUCUCUAGAGGUCACUUUUUGUUGCAGAACUCAUGCAGGGAUGUUGAGUGCCACACAACAUUCUACGUGGAUACUCGCAAUGCUGGAGCUCACCAUGAUAGCCAAGAUGGCUGCGGAAUUACCACAGUAGUACAGUUUUAUGCAAUUAUGAUUUAAUACCUUCAUACAACUAUGGGUGGUGCUGUGUACAACCUGUAAGUGUGUAGGUGUUGACAAUUUUAACUUUUUAUAAUAGAUUUGUAUACAUUUUGUGGUAGUAAAGGAUGAAAACUAUGUAUAUUUUACGCAUUUGGGACAUAACUUUUUCUUAAUUUUUUUCAUGUUUGUAGGCUAUGCAGUUCACUUGUGAGUUAUUUCAAAUUGUCACAAAUCUCCAAAAACUGUCCAACAUAUUCAUUUCAGUAUAAGCGGACAUGUGUUGUUCAAGAGUUAACUGUACUUAAUGUCACUGAACUCUCUACACUUACGGCAAAAAUGAAUGAUCCGGUCUGAGGACGAAUGUGUGGAUGAAAGCCGGCCUGGAGGAGCUGAGCUUGGGGACGAAGUUGCCCCUUGGGAAGAAGAACUUCUUUCCUGGUUUGGAAUGGCAGGAAGUGGACAGUUUAGGGAGCUGCGUUCUCUUAGAGAUCGCCAACUUUUAUUUUGCCAGAUGAGGAUGUUAAAAAUACCACCUUCUAUCCAUCAUUUCAUAAAAGAAAAGUCAUUUUAAAACCUAACAAAGGUACGUAUUUUCAGGAUAAGGGACAGGUACUUUAAGUGGAAUACAUUUAGCUUUGUGAAAAAUCCAAUUGUGUCCUUGUUUUCAUUGCACUUUAGAUUGAUUAAAAAACACACCAUUUUCAUCCUUGGCCUGUAUCAGUUCCCAGAUUGGAGUUUGGGAAUCACUGGUGUAUUUAUGCAUGGGACAUCUGUCCAAAGCACUCCUGGAAGAGAGAAGAGAGAAAGAAGGACAAAUGAAUCUACCAUAAGGACUGCUGUAAAAAGAAAAAAAGAAAGAGAAAGAAGAGGGAAUUUGUGAAGCCAUCGUGCAGCCCCACAGAAGGCACAACAACACUGCGCUUUUUGUGAAAUACUUUUUUGUGUGUCGUACUGAAAAAGGAGCUUCUUUGUGGAGGCGGGACUGCUGGAAGAAAAGCAUACCUAUGGGUCCUAAUAUGAUUUGAGAAAAAG